CAUGACCCACGAACCAUGAAAAAUGGCCUAGCCUGGGAUAUUGAUAAUUUCUGUAUAUAAUAAUCUUCGGGAUAUAGGCUUUCUAGAAAUGUUUUUCUUUUUUUCAUAUAUUCUAUACUUUAUUGUUAAUAUGACGUUGAAUAUUGUGGUAUUUAAUGUUAAAACAAUUAACAUUUCGGGAUACACGUCACAACAAUAAACCUCCAAUGACCAUGUACAAUGUACAUGAACCUAUAAAUCUCUGAAUAUAUCAAGUUAUAUGCACUCAAAUAGCUAGAAUGGCUUAUUCAAUGAUCAUAAUAAGCAUUUUUGACCAAAUUUGGGAAAUAGAAAAAAGAAAUAUUUUGGAAAUGAUGUUCAAAGCCGUGAUUGUUCAACUUUACUUUUAAAUUAUUUUUACUUGAAUUUUAAAAUACUGAAAUAAGAAGAAUAAAUAUAGUAUGUAGUUUAUUUACAUGGUGAAAGAAGUGAAUCAUUGGAACAAUUCUGUUUCAUAUCAUAUUCCAUAGUUUUGGGUUUUUUUGUUUUCUUUCUUAUUUUUUUUUUAAGUAUUAAAACGACCGAGUAUCGAAAGCAAUGGUAACGAAAUAAGUUGACACCGCGUCUCGUCAAAACAUGUUCAAUUCGAAUUUACUCGGAAUUACACGUUCAACGAUCAUUUGCUGUGAAACCUGAUUAAAGGAAAAUUACUGUAGACACCUAAUAGUUUACAUAUGUCAGCAAGUCCUCAAAAGCAGCUUUAGGGGUUCCCAGGAGAUUCUGAUGCUCACUGUUAGACUUUCACUGUCGUCAAAAUCCAACCUUAUUUUCUCUUUUCUCAAAACUUCAGCUCUCAAAAACUUGUUUGAUUAAUUAUGUCACUCCUGUUUUGUUGAACAUGGUGUUGUCAGCAAUAGGUUCAAGUUCUUCUAUGUCUUGUUGUAGGUGAUUUGUACAGAAGCGAGCCCCGGCAGGAAUGAUGGCCUCUUUUGAAAUGAAGAUUCCAUGCCUUACUCCUACUGGGACUACAACUAACUUUGGACCUGGUCACUCGCAGAUACAGCAUGAAGUGUGCCCUCUUGAUGUACAUGGGGAUGGGAGUGAUACAUAAGGGGGACUAAUUGGAAGAACUGCUGCUGCUGGUGGUGGUGCUGGACUGUCUUGAAUCUGUUGCCUAACCGACUUGAUAUUCUUCUGUUUAAUAUGGGAGCAACACACACACUCUGGCAUAUAUUGCACAGAAAAUCGUGAUCAGAUGGUGCCCUCCCUAUCAGAGUGGUGAUCACUGACCUAUAUUUCUUUGAAAUCCUGGAUCUGUGUUUUGGUUUUACUCUCCAUGGACAGUUGAAACAGAGAAAGAAUGGGACCACUCCUUGGCAUAUCUGAAAUAUUUAUGUCAUAUACAUGUAAUUAAAAUAUACAAUUUGGGUUGGAUGAAAAUCUUAUCUUCAUGUUAAAACCCAUUAGCCUAGGUUAUUUUUCCUAAAAUCUAAUUAUAAAUCAAUUAACUUGUUAAUUAAUGCUUGGUGAAUCAAUUAAUAAAUUGUAUUCAAAAACUUGGAAUUAUUUUUUUUCCCACUAAUAAACUGAAAAUGUG